AGUGAACGCUGGCGGCAUGCCUAACACAUGCAAGUCGAACGAAGGCUUCGGCCUUAGUGGCGCACGGGUGCGUAACGCGUGGGAAUCUGCCCUUGGGUUCGGAAUAACAGUUAGAAAUGACUGCUAAUACCGGAUGAUGUCGUAAGACCAAAGAUUUAUCGCCCAAGGAUGAGCCCGCGUAGGAUUCGCUAGUUGGUGAGGUAAAAGCUCACCAAGGCGACGAUCCUUAGCUGGUCUGAGAGGAUGAUCAGCCACACUGGGACUGAGACACGGCCCAGACUCCUACGGGAGGCAGCAGUGGGGAAUAUUGGACAAUGGGCGAAAGCCUGAUCCAGCAAUGCCGCGUGAGUGAUGAAGGCCUUAGGGUUGUAAAGCUCUUUUACCCGGGAUGAUAAUGACAGUACCGGGAGAAUAAGCUCCGGCUAACUUCGUGCCAGCCGCCGCCUAAUAC
rnacentral:rRNA from 1 species